rnacentral:lncRNA from 1 species
CCAAAGACAAGCUAUGUAUCAAUCGCAACACACGCAACCCAAAGCUUGACAUAAUCAAAACUCAUAUGCUUCAAAAGCUCCAAUGUAAUGUACAAAUCUCUCGUUCAACAUGUUUAAAGAAAGAUGACAGAAAGUAAGCAACUUUUGUCUGAAUUUGAGCAAAUAAACAGAGCUAAAGAGACUUUAAAGUAAAAAGCAAACUGAAGUAAACAUUACAAUACAAGUACGAAACAGAACUUUCACCAUAUCUGUCUGUUACAACAUCAACAAGAAAAAAAAGAAACUACAGAUUUAAGGUAUAUAAAACCCCUAAUUUACAGAGUUUCUAAGUACCUUUAAUUCAUACAAACAACGAAAACAGAGAGAUACCCAGAAGAGAAUCAACCGGUGUAGAUGUGUAGAUUGACGGCGAUGAUCAAAAUGGAGUAAAUCUCGAAGUAAGAUGAGAGUGUGAACAGCUAUGGCUUUUCC